rnacentral:lncRNA from 1 species
GGAGCACUGUUACAAUGGGCAGCUGAUGCGUCGGAAGAUGCCACGUCUAUCGAUGCUUUUGAGAAAAUUAAGAGGUAAUUUUAGGAGAGGGGAAUGUAUCGAUGGAUUUAGGGUUUUUUUUUUUUUUUUUAAAUUUAUUUAUCAAAAAAAAAUUUCUUUAAUUUUUUUCAUGACAUUUUCAAGUUUUUUCUCGGCCAUUCGUCCUAAACCACCAAGAUAAUAUUUUUUCCUCUAAUUACUUUCAUGAUUUAAAUACCAUCUCAAAAAUAAAAAAAAUUAUAACAGAAAUAUGAUUCUGUCUUUUUAAUUUUUUUCAUUUAAAAAAAAAAUUACCCAAAAAAAUAUUACAUAAACCGAUUUAUUUUAAGUUUUAUUUUUAUUCCCCCAACUAAAUACAUUUGUUUUUCCUUUUAUCUAUCAUAGUACACUAACCAAAAUGCUCAAGAAAUUGUCAAAGCAAAUUACAAGAACUCUUUGUUCAACUGGUAUUAUUACAUAGCAUAUUCCAGGGGACUGCCCCAUGUACAGAAUGGAUCAUACUGAAACUAGUAAAAAUGCAAAAAAAGUUGCAGGGACAGAAGAACCUAGAGAGAUAGGUACUCGUCGCUGCAUCUGAAGGGCUGCCCAGAAAUAACAUUAAGUUUAUCCACAGGCGCAACUAUUCCAGCCAAACGCAAUAAUAUAGUGGCGUUGUUAAUAUUUUUAUAAGCAGUAAUCAUGUCCGUGUGUGCUUCAAUAUCAUGAAUAAGGUUAAAGACUUUUUCUUUGCGCAGUUAUAAACUCAACAAUCAUGAUUGCAGCUGCAACGAACAGUGGCAGUGAAGGGCCUGCGAGUAGCUCUGCAAUUUGUGAAUCAUCCAAUAACAGAACCUGUUCCCACAGUAGCUUCACCAGCUCAAGAACUUGUGUGUGCAUCAGCUUUUUGUCAUAAUCUGCCCUGAUUCCUGGAAUGUAUAAGAAAAUAACUCAGAAAAUGAACUUGUUAAUGUGAACUCAAUGAGCUUAUCAUAUACAUAGGCAUGGCAAUCAGCAUCGUACCAUUCAUUUGUAUUGCACGGAAAAGUUGUCCCACUAACCUGACAGAUCAUGUCAUGAUUCAAGAACCCAGAUUUUUCAUUAAUUCCAAACCUUAUUUCAAUACUUUGAAAGUAAUUAGUUUGAUGAUCAUUACUGUAACUGGCAAAAUCUCUAAAAAUAUAUAUUAAUAAGAUUGGG